rnacentral:rRNA from 1 species
GACGAACGCUGGCGGCGUGCUUAACACAUGCAAGUCGAACGGAAAGGCCCUGCUUUUGUGGGGUGCUCGAGUGGCGAACGGGUGAGUAACACGUGAGUAACCUGCCCUUGACUUUGGGAUAACUUCAGGAAGCUGGGGCUAAUACCGGAUAGGAGCUCCUGCUGCAUGGUGGGGGUUGGAAAGUUUCGGCGGUUGGGGAUGGACUCGCGGCUUAUCAGCUUGUUGGUGGGGUAGUGGCUUACCAAGGCUUUGACGGGUAGCCGGCCUGAGAGGGUGACCGGCGACAUUGGGACUGAGAUACGGCCCAGACUCCUACGGGAGGCAGCAGGGGGGAAUAUUGCACAAUGGGCGGAAGCCUGAUGCAGCAACGCCGCGUGCGGGAUGACGGCCUUCGGGUUGUAAACCGCUUUCGCCUGUGACGAAGCGUGAGUGACGGUAAUGGGUAAAGAAGCACCGGCUAACUACGUG